rnacentral:lncRNA from 1 species
UGGGGUUGGAAUGGGGAGUGACUGCUAAUGGGCAUAGAAUAUUAUUUUGGGGUGAUAAAAAUGUUCUAAACUUGAUUAUAGAAAUGAGACAGGAUAGUUCCCUUGACCCACUUCGUGGGUGGGAAUGGAAGUGGCUCAUUUCACUUAGCCUGCCACUGGCCACUCCUCAUGAGACAGAGUGUGCCAGCAAGGGAGUGUGGGAACUGGAGAGAAUGAACCCUGGACCUGGCCACUCUUCUCUGGCGGAAGCAGGUUCCGUGCGGGCCCUACAGCAGCAUCCAAGCCCCUGUCCUCUCGGCACCUGAGUUCUUGUUUGGCAUCCAGGAAGAAUUAGGUCACCCACACGGAUUGAAAGAGGCACAUCUAACUGCCAUUAGGAUAUGGACAACGACCAGUCUUUCCGUUGUUUAACGAAAGCGGCAGUUGGAUUCCUCCCAGAAGUCUACCCAAGGAUCCCCAGCGAAAGGGAGCCAUAGUCCGAGGCUCUGGCUGCCUGCCUGUUUGGAGCUUUGAUGGCCUCGAGGCCCCCAGAUGAGACAGGAUUGUUCCCUUCAUCUUAACCCCCUUCGUGGGCGGGAACUGGAGCAGCUCAUUUCACUCAGCUCGCCUCCUGCCACUCCUGGCGGCAGAGCGUGCGAGUGCGGGAACCGGAGCGACCGAAUGCUGGAACCGGCCGGUCACUCCUCUCUGGCGGGAAUAGGCUCUGUGCGGGCCUCACAGCAGCGUCCAAGCCCUGGCCUCUCGGCACCGGGGUACCUGUCCGGCGUCCAGGAAGAAUUAGGUCAUAUGAACGGAUUGAAGAGUAGUGUAUGCGGAAGAUUUGAUUGAGUGGUGGCUCCUGGUGGGAUGGGUACUGGAAAGCAGACGGUGAAAGAGGGUCAUCUUUCCCUGAAGCCGCACCAUCUGAAGUUAGCUGCGUCUAUCUGUAGUCUUCAACACUCUUGCUGCUUCUCUGCUCACCGCUCAGCCGCUUGUGUUGCUCUGCCAGCUGAAGUCUUUUUUAUGGCCACAGGAUAGGGGCGUGGCAGGCCAAAAAAACAACAUUUGGGCAGAAAAACAGGGUCAGCUGUUUUCAAGGCCGUGAUUCCAGGCUUAAGGGUGGGGUUUAGCUGGGAACCCAGCCAUUCUGUAUCAGUGAUAGUUGCACAACUAUAAAUAUACUAACAACCAUUGAAUUGUGUACUUUAAGUAGAUUAACCGUAUGAUAUAUGAAUUACAUCUCAGUAAAGUUGUUUUUUAAAAAAUAUGCAUAUACCUUAGUCUAGCCGUUCCAGGUCAUAUACUACAGCGAUAGUAACAAAGAUAUAAUAUGUGGUUUAUAAUAAUAAAUAUUGGAAAUACUUAAUCUUGCAAAUGCAUGAUCAGUAAGGUAGUGGAGGCAAAAACUAGGUUUCCCAGGAGCUUCAGGCUUCUCAACUUCCAAGUAGUAAUCUCAAGGAAGUACGUACUCUGACUGAAACUGUUUAUGUCACAGACCUACUCCUUAGACCAAUCACUGUUCCCAUAGAGAUAGCUCAUUAUGAUUUGUGGAGUCAGAAUCAUGUGCCCACUGCUGAAAUCAGGAAUUCAGGGUCCUGGGAGAGUCACCCGUGCCACCCACCUAAUGUUUUCUGGAAGUUUGACUUUAAAAGGAAGAAGACAGCAAGAGAUCAAUAUAGCUAGAGUGUGGAGAUGAGGUGUUUUCUUUAAAAUAGAGGUGACUUGAACACGUUUAAAUGCUUGUGCAAAGUAGCCAAUAUAGAGGGAGCAGUUAAAGACACAAAAGAAAUAGAAUAUUUCUAAUCAAUAGAUCUCAGGAAAUUAUUAUUUCCCACUAUCCCUCAGAAAAUUAUAUUCAAUAAAGGAAUUUGUUUCUGGCUCCUUGGAGGAUUAACUUUCCUUUUCAUGCUUAGGCAAUACAAAGUUGAAUCACCACUUUAAACCACAUUACACAGACUAGAAGGUGAAACUCCAAUGCCCAGGCCAUUAUGUUAAUCAAUACUUCAACCUUCUUUUUUUUUUUGAGACAGAGUCUACGCUCUCGUUGCCCAGGCUGGAGUGCAAUGGCGCAACCUCAGCUCACUGCAACCUCUGCCUCCUGGGUUCAAGCAAUUGUCCUGCCCCAGCCUCUCACGUAGCUGGGAUUACAGGCAUGCGCCACCACACCCAGCUAAUUUUGUAUUUUUAAUAGAGACGGGGUUUCACCAUGUUGGCGAGGCUGGUCUUGAACUCUUGACUUCAGGUGAUCCACCAGCCUCAGCCUCUCAAAGUGCUGGGAUUACAGGCGUCAGCCACCGCACUCAGCCUCAACCUUCAAUAAAAAUAGGAUUCCCUCCACUCACUCCUUUACCCAGUUAGGGUGUAAUUGUGGCAGGCCAUCUAUCUGUCUUUGCAAAAGGGAACAUGGUAAUCUUUGUUUUGUUUGUUCACCUCUUCUC